AAAAAGACAACAGCAUGGAUAAAAUGCAUGAUUAUAAACUUACUCUUUGCUUGGUGGUGAUGAAUAACUAGUAACCCUGACAGAGUGUGUUGCUUUUUUACUAGUUUCAUGUCUGGAAGCCAUGAUGUUUGAAGUGAUGUACCUCGCCCAGAAGCUUGGGGAUAGGAAGCACUGCAGGAAGACAAUGACAAGUCUUCCAGAACUAUAUUUCUGAGACUAUCCAACCUGAAAUAUUUCUGGAAAGCAUAGAAACCUAGAUGACCAUUCAGACAUGGAUAGAAUUGGAUUAAGUAGCACUGCUAGCAAAUUCUUCCAUUAAAAAUAGUUCUCUGAUGCUAGAGGCUGAGAACAAAUUAGAAACCAGAUUGUUGUACGAGCGUGAGUAGGGUGACCAGAUGUCCUGAUUUUAUAGGGACUGUCCCAUUUUUGGAGGCUUUUUCUUAUAUAGGCACUUAUUACCCCGCACCCCCUGUCCUGAUUUUUUACACUUGCUAGCUGGUCACCCUAAGCGUGAGUGUGUCUGGUUUGGUUUUCAUUUGAAACUUUUAUGACAAAGAAUUGUAGGUACAGCAUGGUAAAUAGUAAUGUGCAUGCUUUGUUCCUUCCCAUACUGACUUCUAGUUUCCCAUAUCAAGAGCGAGCUAUAGGGCAGAACUCGCUAUAAAAUGUCAACGAGUGGAAUUCUCUCUCUGUCUCUUGAUAGAUAUCUGUCUGUCUGUUUGUGCACUUAUAGUGCAUUCAUCACCACUGUAACUACACCACUUAAUGAACUCACCAUACCCGCAGCUGAGAGAUAUAGAGAUGUCUGAACUCCCUGAUUAAAAGCUCAACAUUUUUGUGACAGUUUUGAAAAACUGAAAAUCAGGUUAAUAUUGAAAAAUGUCAUCAUUUCAACAACGAGCGGAUCAUUGUCAAUGUCUUGGGCAAUGCUCGCCAGCCAUAAAUGGACAUGGGUACCAUCUUAGUGCAUGGCUAAGAUCCCACUCCUUGAGCACCUGCCGCUAUUGGAAGCAAGUGGUAGGAGGGCAUGUAAUCUGUUCCUUUCUAGAGCAAUGGUAAGGAACACUAAAGAGUCCACUGGGUGUAUGGACAGGAUACCUCAGGGGCUUUCUAAUCAGCUGCUGUUUCUUCCUUCUCUUCCAUCUUGCACAUCUGACAGCAGUAAGGGAAGGAUUUCCCUUCUCCAGCAUAUUCAAAACGUGGCUGACAAAAUUCCUUUCUUUACCCAUCAAUCUGUCCAUGACACACCCCUUUUUGAAUCCCUCCACUCACUCACCUGAAAUGCCACAAGUUAAAUCUGUUCCUCCUCACUGUCAAAGCCCUUCACAGCCCCUGCCUCUGUUAAGGACCAUGUCUAUUAUCAUAUACUCCCAGCCUGUCCACCAGUUAUAAAAGUCUCAACGGUCCUUCUUUUUCUCCUGCUGCUAGGCAUUUUUGCACACUGCCUGAUAUGUGGCAUACCCUCCCAAUACCUGCUGGUCAGGCCACCACCGUCUCCACAUUAAAGUUCCUCAUAAAAUAACUCUUCUUCAAGGCCAGCCUGAAGUGAGAUAAUAAUGUAAAAGCAAAGUGACAUGAUCUCCUAUCUCUGAAUUUUUCUGUGCUUCUCAUCAUCUGUGGGCUUGUCUCAUAGUCUGAAGCUUCUGGGCCAGUUUUUGCAUAUAUGUAUGGUGCAGCACCAUUUCACAUUGAAUUUCAUAUUGUUCGG
ensembl:lncRNA